rnacentral:rRNA from 1 species
GACGAACGCUGGCGGCGUGCCUAAUACAUGCAAGUUGAGCGAUGAAGAUUGGUGCUUGCACCAAUUUGAAGAGCAGCGAACGGGUGAGUAACGCGUGGGGAAUCUGCCUUUGAGCGGGGGACAACAUUUGGAAACGAAUGCUAAUACCGCAUAACAACUUUAAACAUAAGUUUUAAGUUUGAAAGAUGCAAUUGCAUCACUCAAAGAUGAUCCCGCGUUGUAUUAGCUAGUUGGUGAGGUAAAGGCUCACCAAGGCGAUGAUACAUAGCCGACCUGAGAGGGGGGUCGGCCACAUUGGGACUGAGACACGGCCCAAACUCCUACGGGAGGCAGCAGUAGGGAAUCUUCGGCAAUGGGCGAAAGUCUGACCGAGCAACGCCGCGGGAGUGAAGAAGGUUUUCGGAUCGUAAAACUCUGUUGGUAGAGAAGAACGUUGGUGAGAGUGGAAAGCUCAUCAAGUGACGGUAACUACCCAGAAAGGGACGGCUAACUACGUG